GUGUCAGCCGCCGCGGUAAGACGAACCGUGCGAACGUUGUUCGGAAUCACUGGGCUUAAAGGGCGCGUAGGCGGCCGGGUUGGUCGUGGGUGAAAUCCCCCAGCUUAACUGGGGAAUUGCCUACGAUACUGCCUGGCUCGAGGGAGGAAGGGGCGGCCGGAACUGUCGGUGGAGCGGUGAAAUGCGUUGAGAUCGACAGGAACGCCGGUGGCGAAAGCGGGCCGCUGGCCCUCUUCUGACGCUGAGGCGCGAAAGCCAGGGGAGCGAACGGGAUUAGAAACCCCCGUAGUCC
rnacentral:rRNA from 1 species